UCGAGAAUCUUCGUCAAUGGGCGAAAGCCUGAACGAGCGACGCCGCGUGCGGGAUGAAGGCCUUUGGGUUGUAAACCGCUGUCGAGGGGGAUGAAGGCUCAGUAGUUAUCUGCUGAGUUUGACAGAGCCCUGGAGGAAGCACGGGCUAAGUUCGUGCCAGCAGCCGCGGUAAUACGAACUGUGCGAACGUUAUUCGGAAUCACUGGGCUUACAGGGUGCGUAGGCGGCUUAGCAAGUCAGGUGUGAAAGCCCCCGGCUCAACCGGGGAACUGCGCUUGAAACUGCUGAGCUCGAGUCAGCUAGAGGUACACGGAACUUCCAGUGGAGCGGUGAAAUGUGUUGAUAUUGGAAGGAACACCGGAGGCGAAAGCGGUGUACUGGGGCUGGUCUGACGCUGAGGCACGAAAGCCAGGGGAGCGAACGG
rnacentral:rRNA from 1 species